rnacentral:tRNA from 1 species
GUCAGGAUGGCCGAGUGGUCUAAGGCGCCAGACUCAAGGACUCCUGUUUUUCCAAUGCUUGGGUGUUCUGGUCUCUGAAUGGAGGCGUGGGUUCAAAUCCCACUCCUGACA